GGCGCGGGGGUCUGCGCAGGCGCGUGGAGUCCGACUUCCCUGGAGGAAGCUUGGGCUGCGGCGGAGCGGAGGGUUUCCGCAGGCGGAGGCGGUAGGGACCCGACCCCGAGGGUCCGCCCUGCGGUGCUGGCUCCAGGCGGCCAGGAGCUCAGACCCCCUCAGCAGCUCCGGAUCACAGACAGGGUGACCGCGCCAAGGGUGCCGCCGGGGUCCCCCGUCCCCGCGAGAGAAAGGCAGAGACACAGGCAGAGGAGAGGCCGGCCCCAUGCGGGGAGCCCGGUGUGGACUGGAUCCCCGUCUGGGCAUCAUGCCCACAGCUGAAAGCAGACGCCCAACCUCCGAGCCACCCAGGUCUCCCAAGAGUUGGACACUUAACCAACUAAGCCACCAGGUGCCCCCAUCACUCCCUUUUUUUUAAGCUCAGAUAACCAGGGAUCUUUUUUUUCAGUGCUAGGAUGAGUUGCCGUAUCUAUAUGCACAUUAAGUUUUUUAUUAUAAGAUAUUUGUAACAAAAGUUAGCAUUUUCAUCAUUUUCAGGGGUGUGGUUCUGUGGCAUUAAGUACAUUCCCAUUUUACAGCCAUCACCAGGAUGUAGCCACAGAACUUUUAUCUGACACUGAAAGUCCUCGCCAUUAAACCAUGACUCCCAGUUUCCCCUUCCUGUUGUAAACACUUUUACCUUUAAAAUGGCUCCAAUUUCAGUGGAGUUGUGACAUUCAGAAUGAGUUCUACCACCACCCAGUUAUCUUCCAGGAAGUGUUAGGAGUUAGCCCGAGCUUUGUGUAUCUUUCUAUCACCAGUUUAUGCUUGAUAAAUGGCAAGACCUUUUUUCCCCGUGUAGGUGCCUCUUGGAGAUCACCCUAAUUCAGAACAGAAGUGCUCCCUGGUUCUGGUGUCUCUGCCUUAAUUUUUACUACUCACCUCCUGUUGGAGCACAGUUAUGUGGUGACCAAUUUUUUAGUAGGAUAAGCUGCUUUUUGUGUAGGAGAAAUUUCAGGAAUGGGAAUCACCUGGCCAAGUAGCAUGUGUCAGACACAGAGAGAGAGAGAAGAGGCAGAGACACAGGCAGAGGGAGAAGCAGGCUCCAUGCAGGGAACCCAACGUGGGACUCGAUCCCAGGUCUCCAGGAUCACACCCCAGGCUGCAGGCAGCGCUAAACCGCUGAGCCACUGGGGCUGCCCAUGUCAGGUAGUUCUGAUAGCUGUUGGCAAGUUCCUGGAAGGAUGUUGAAUCAGUUGUUGAAGCGUGGCCACCAAAGUGUAGAAGUAUGCACGCCUUCAGCGCACAGCUCAUCAGUCUGAUGGUGAAAAAUAGUAUCUCGUUGUUUACAUUUGCAUUUCUGAUGGUUAUUGUUUCAGGUUUUUCUUGCAAUUGUGUUUCUGUUUUGUGCAAAGCCACUAAAACGUGUUCUGAAAGACUGAUGAUAGAUUGCUGUGGGCUGCAGUCACGGUAUAUUCUCUGAAGACAGGUCACCUGUGAGCCUCGGUUUCUGCCGCGGUUGUGGUGCAAAGGACAGCACGGACAUCUAUUAAGACAACAGAGUUCGGAUGCCUGGGUGGCUCAGUGGUUGAGGGUCUACCUCUGGCUCAGGGUGUGAUUUCCAAGAUCCAGGAUCGAGUUCUGUGUCAGGCUCCCUGCAAGGACCCUGCUUCUCCCUUUGCCUAUGUCUGCCUCUCUCUGUAUGUCUCUCAUGAAUAAAUAAAUAAAUAAAAUCUUAAAAAAAAAAAAAAGGCAACAGAGCGAACCGCCUCCCCAAGUUCCUAUGUUGGACCACGCCCAGUGUGAUGGUGUCAGGAGGUGGGUGGGAGCCUCAUGAUGGGAGUAGAGCCCUGAGGGCAGAGCCCCAAGAGGGCGCGCCUAUGCCCCAUCUGCCCUUGUGAGGACAUAGUAAGGGGACACCGUCUGUGAAUCAGGAAGCAGGUCCUCCGCAGACACAGGACCAGCCAAGACCCUGGGCUUGGACUUGUAGCCCCUUGGGGCUGCAAGAGAUCAGUGGCGGUUUAUGAACCUCCUCCUGCCCCUGUCUGUGGUAUCUUUUGUUACAGAAGCCUGAAAAGACCAAGACCAUAUUGUAUAUACAUGAUUUUAAACUCAGUUACCAAGCCGUUUCCAUACUCACCACCUCCAGGUUUUGGUUCAUCAAAGGCACCCCUUCCUUCUUCCUUCCCUCCCUCCCUUCUUUUUAGAUUUAUUUAUUAUAUUUUUUUUGAUUAUUUAUUUAUUUAUUAUA